GGUCUUGGGUUUGGGCACUGAGGUACCUGCAGACCCAGAGCAGCAAUACUUGACGUUUCCUACCUCAUCUUUAUUUGACCUGGCGUGAUUUUCGCAGCACCAGGGCAUUGCCCUGCACUGAGGAGGAGCAGGAAGGGAGGCUGUGUGGAGCAGCCGCUCACUGCUGCCAGCCCCAGCUGCUUGGCACGGCCAGCACAGCCGCCUGCAGGUGCAGCUGCUCCGUGUUGCAGAGGGCAUUGACAGACCUCUGAAAGAGUCCGUGCCCCGGGGGAUCGCGUGGGAUGCGCUGCUUCUGUGGGCUACUCAUUUUGAAGAACUUCAUAGCACAUAGAGAUUUGACAGAAAAACAACGUGGAUGGAACGGCUGGUGAUUUUCCCACAGGAAAGAUGACCCUAAUCUUCCAGAAGGACAGAAAAACAAGACCAGCCAGAGUUUUAUCCAUUACUGCAUCAGAGAUGACUGGCUUGAAUUUGGUCAAAGGAUUAUGGGCUCAGUGCACCAGAAGCACUGAACUGGGGCAGCAGAGGAAGGAAAGGAAAAGCAGUGGCUGCUGUCUAAGGUGAAGACGAAAAUUAUUUUCAGUGAAUACGUUAAGCCUGAGAAAAGUUAGGUUUAUGUUUCAUUUUUGUCCCUUAAGGAAAGAUUUAGAUCAGUAUUGU
rnacentral:lncRNA from 1 species